rnacentral:rRNA from 1 species
CCGCGGCGGACGGGUGAGUAAUGCCUAGUGAAUCUGCCUGGUGAGUGGGGGAUAACGUCCGGAAACGGGCGCUAAUACCGCAUACGUCCUGAGGGAGAAAGUGGGGGAUCUUCGGACCUCACGCUAUCAGAUGAGCCUAGGUCGGAUUAGCUAGUUGGUGGGGUAAAGGCCUACCAAGGCGACGAUCCGUAACUGGUCUGAGAGGAUGAUCAGUCACACUGGAACUGAGACACGGUCCAGACUCCUACGGGAGGCAGCAGUGGGGAAUAUUGGACAAUGGGCGAAAGCCUGAUCCAGCCAUGCCGCGUGUGUGAAGAAGGUCUUCGGAUUGUAAAGCACUUUAAGUUGGGAGGAAGGGCAGUAAGUUAAUACCUUGCUGUUUUGACGUUACCAACAGAAUAAGCACCGGCUAACUUCGUGCCAGCAGCCGCGGUAAUACGAAGGGUGCAAGCGUUAAUCGGAAUUACUGGGCGUAAAGCGCGCGUAGGUGGUUCAGCAAGUUGGAUGUGAAAUCCCCGGGCUCAACCUGGGAACUGCAUCCAAAACUACUGAGCUAGAGUACGGUAGAGGGUGGUGGAAUUUCCUGUGUAGCGGUGAAAUGCGUAGAUAUAGGAAGGAACACCAGUGGCGAAGGCGACCACCUGGACUGAUACUGACACUGAGGUGCGAAAGCGUGGGGAGCAAACAGGAUUAGA